CCCCAUUCGCCCACCUCCGGCCGAACUCAUUUCGGCCGGAUUGACCCCGGCCGGCCACCGUCGGCCGGCCGAAACCCAUCAAAAAAAAAAAUUCCAAAACAGGGGAUGAAAACCAGUUGCCAUCCCUCAUUUCUCUCCCCUUAAAUCCCAAAAAAAAAACAAUAAAUAGGUUGCCUUUCUCACCUCUAGUCGUCGACGUAAGGAUCCCCGGCGGCGUUGGCGGCUCCGGCGGCGGCGAGGCUCCGGCGAUCCUCUCACAAAGAGGGAAAAACGAAGAGGAGGGGAUGGGCUCUCAGAGAAAAGAGAAAGGGGGAGAGAGAGAGAGAGAGAGAGAGAGG
rnacentral:lncRNA from 1 species